GUACUGACGAGGGAGCCCCAGACAAGGCAAGGCUGGCCCAAGGCCAAAGGCUCUGGGGAGACCAAAGAGACCUUUCCAGUGCCUCGGGGGGCUCCAGGAACCACCUGAAGUCCUGACUUCUCCAGGAGCAAGCCAGAUUUCUGGAGGUGUUUCCACUCUGUUCAAAAGGGAUUGUCCCUUGACAUCUGGACCACCAUUACUGACCACCCCAAUCUCUGUUGAGGACUCACAGGCGCUUAGAUGAAAUCAACCUGUGAAGGAUCUGCUGGGGAAAGGGCAAGGAGAAGAAACACCAAUCUUUCAGACUCUGGCCUUUUGGGGGAAUAUUCUCCUUUCUGGACAUACAUGUUCCAAUGCUGUGGCCAUGGAAACUGGAGUCCCAAAUAAGAAAGAGAAGCAGAAUAGGAGUUUUUACCUCCUCCAAGACCCAGCACUAAGUCCCAAAUCAUCUUCUGCACUUCCCUUCUCUUCCAGAUAAUUGUUUGCUUCCAACUAUUUAUUUUUCUCUUGAACUGGUUUAGUUUUCAUCUUAGUUUUCAACUAUUUUUAAAGGUAUAAAGAUUGAUUACAUUCUCUCCCUUUCUUUUUUAGCUGCCAUUUGUCACUGUUGUGAAAAACAUCAGCACGAAGGCUACUUCUAUUAAAUGGGAAACACUAUAAUUCCCAUGCAAUUUGUCCUUGUAUAAGGAACAAAAAAAAAAGGGGAAAAAAAUAAAGAAGAAAUAGCAUUUCCUCCAUGGCUAGAUUUGAUUUCCCCACAUAAAUCCACACCUUCACACAUCCCACCCCCACAUCAUUUCAUACAUGCUGCAGAGUUAGUGAAAUGCCACGGACU